CGGAAGUCUUUACUAAACAUUUGUCUCAAACCAUCUAUCAUAAUACUUGAACAAAACUCUUGGGACGCAGCCCAUACAAAGUCUAAAACAUAAAAGAAUGGCAUAAAGGGACAUAGUGGGUUUGUCCUCAAAGCUAUGAGGACUCACCAAUUCUUCAACUCUUUCUUGAUCCUUUGAAACCUAGCCUUCAAAGCAACUCAAU
rnacentral:lncRNA from 1 species